rnacentral:rRNA from 1 species
AUUGAACGCUGGCGGCAGGCCUAACACAUGCAAGUCGCACGAGUGGCGGACGGGUGAGUAAUGUCUGUGCAACUGCCUGCUGGAGGGGGAUAACUACUGAAAACGGUAGCUAUUACCGCAUACCAUCAUAUUUUCCCAGAUGGGAUUAGAUUGUUGGUGGUGUAACGGCUCACUAAGGGGACGAUCCCUAGCGGGUCUGAGAGGAUGACCAGCCACAUUGGAAGUGGUACACGGUCCAGACUCCUACGGUAGGCAGCAGUGGGGAAUAGUGCACAAUGGGCGCAAGCCUGAUGCAGCCAGGCCGCGUGUAUUAAGAAGGCGUGCGGGUGGUAAAGUACUUUCAGCGGGGAGGCGUUACCCGCAGAAGAAGCACCGGCUAACUCCGUGCCAGCAGCCGCGGGAAUAC